UCUAUUGUUCUGUUUGAAAUUUUCAAGAUGGAUCCUAACUAACAAGGCCAAAGAAUUAAACAGAUUUGCUAUUCUACCAAAAAACAAACAAAACCAUUUCGGCAUGGAUAAUAACAAACGGACUAAAUUGGCCUUAUUCAUUUGUCAAUUAAUUGUUUUCUCUGUCCAUAUCAAGUCACAAAUUAAUCACUAAAUGUUGAUCAUACACCAUCACACAGUCUUUGUAGACAUCAAAGAAUCUUUAACCAAACCAAAAGAAUCAAUAGAAAUACAAUACCACAGCCAUUACCUAUCUUAUUCGAAUGUAAACAAAUAAGAUGCACAGGUUAUAAAAUACUAUGUAAACAAUAGUAGUAGCUUUUAGUUCCGAUAUUUCUUCCUCCCUCUCAAGAAGUUGUUCCCGUGCUGCGUUUAGUUCUUUCGUUAACGUGGCGAAUUCCUGGGGGUUAAAUUAAUUAAUGUUAAUUAUCUUAUAAAAGCGUACCCUACCGCCAAUAUAUGCAAGCAAACAUACGAGUAAUACUAUAAUAAACAGACUAAACUUCCAACAAGAAAAUACAAAAUUAAAAACGAACGUUAUUAAGCCUGAAAAAGAAAGAAAAAAAAAAGAUGAAAGAGAGAGACAGAUAGGUGAACUGAGCGUUAUUAACGAAUUAAGACCAAAAAAUUGGAAAAAAUCCAAAGGUAAAUGACCGCAACAACCCGAUAAAAUUACAUACAGGAGUUUGCAAAAUUAAUCCAACCGUUUAAGAAAAUCUAACAAUAGUUUCUCUCGCUGCACUCAGCAUAUACGCUUUCGUCUAUAUAAAACAAUGCAUAUCAUCUUUUCUAUUUCCCUCGUUAUUUUUGAUGAAUUUGAAGAGUCUACUUGCUUAUGGAUAACAAUAGCUAAGGUCGAGUAAUAUAGAACGUGAUAAACGCGAUACUUGCAGCUCUUCUUUCAAUUACGAGCAAGAAUGACAAAAAAUAAAAUCGAUUACGGAUGUAUACAGGAUUCCUUACACAUAUAGUACAUGUACACACACACAGACACGCCUCUACUCAUCUUGCUUUAAGGGACUUUUAUUAAAGUCAAAUCGAAACAAAGUAUGUGAAGCAGAAGAAAAAAUGUAACUAGCAAAAGUUUGAUUUUUCUUUUUCUAUUAAAUGUCUAAUAAUGA